UACGUAGGGCGCAAGCGUUGUCCGGAAUUAUUGGGCGUAAAGAGCUCGUAGGCGGUUUGUCGCGUCUGCUGUGAAAACCUGAGGCUCAACCUCGGGCUUGCAGUGGGUACGGGCAGACUAGAGUGCGGUAGGGGUGACUGGAAUUCCUGGUGUAGCGGUGGAAUGCGCAGAUAUCAGGAGGAACACCGGUGGCGAAGGCGAGUCUCUGGACAGCA
rnacentral:rRNA from 1 species